rnacentral:lncRNA from 1 species
GGAUGACUGUGAGUGAUUUUCUGAGGCAGGGGGAUGACAGUGAGUGAUUUUCUGAGGCAGGGGGAUGACCGUGAGUUAUUUUCUGAGGCAGGGGGUGACCGUGAGUGAUUUUCUGAGGCAGGGGGAUGACAGUGAGUGAUUUUCUGAGGCAGGGGCAUGACUGUGAGUGAUUUUCUGAAGCUUGACCCCGCGACAGGAUGGACCUCUGGACGGACUUAGUGUCUGCACAUACAGUGUUAUACGACACACUCUAUAAUAAAAUGAUUUUUCUGACAAUUUUUCUACGAUAAAAACACCAUGUGACGUGAGAACAGGACGUAACAUACAGGACGUGAUAUCUGUGGUAGUGAAAUAACAUAUGACGUAAUCAUAUAAUAACCAGUUUUUACACCAUAAAACCUAUUAAACUUUCUAAUUUGCAGCCAAAAGAGGGUUUUAAAUACAUUUUUGUGGAUUUUUUUUCUGCAAAAAGGAAAAAAAACAUAAUAAAAUACCGACUUUUUUUUUAAUUCCAAAACCGUGAAAUCGUCCAACCAUGAAAUGAAAAAACUUGAUAUUUUUUUAAUUUAAUAUUUUUUAAAAAAUUAUAUUUUAUGUUAAAAUGUCAAAGUUUUCUGGUCUUAGGGAAGUAACAUGAAUUUUUAUUUACUUUUAUUCGUUUUUUUAUUUUAAAAAUUUAAAUAUUGUUUUUUUUUCUGAAUUUUUAAAAACAAUCAUGGCACAUUUUUAAAAAAAUUUUAAAAAUAAAAUUAUGUUUUUGAGAAAAAAAUUUAAAAUAUCAUUUUUUCCAAAAAAAAAUUUUUUUUCAAACCGAAAUACAAUUAUUUUUCCUGCCGUCUGGACUCGGCGACGAGAAAUCACGAUUUUGAUUUUCCUCUCUUUCCCUUUCUGGUGCUGCACGCGAACCUCCGCGUCCUCCCCUCGUGCAACUCCGCGACUCGGGCGUGGGCUUCAUGGAAGAAAUCUCCAUUUUUAAAAUUUUUUAAAAGAUUCAUUUAUUUCUCAGUUUGGAAGAAUUGUCCCUACUUACCCCUCAUCUGAGGCAGGGGCAUGGCUGCCUUGGGAAACAACGGCAACAACCUGGGGUUUCUGGGGGGGGAGAUUUAAAUUUUGGGAUAAAAAUGAUGUAUAGCGUGGUGAUGGAAGAUUUAAUGAUAAAAAUAAUAUGUAAUGUGUAAUUAUAUAUAAUAUAUAUAAAAUGUGUAAUUAUAUAAUAUAUAUAAAAAUAUGUAUAUAUUUUUAUAUUUUAUAUAUAUUAUAUAUUUUUAUAUAUAUAAAAAUAUGUAUAUAUAAUAUAUUUAUAUAUAUAAAUAUAUAUUAUAUAUAAAUAUAUAUAAUAUAUAAUAUAUAAAAUGUGUAAUUAUAUAUAUAAUAUAUAAUAUAUAAUAUAUAUAAAUAUAUAUAAUAAAAAUAUAUAUAAUAUAUAAUAUAUAUAAAAUGUGUAAUUAUAUAUAUAUUAUAUAUAAUAUAAAAUGUAAUAUACAUUAUAUAUAUGUAUAUAAUAUAUAUAUGUAAUCAUACAUAGCGAGUAUAUGUGUUACACGUGAUAUAUAAUGACGUAAC